GCUGGGCGUGGUGGCGCACACCUGUAGUCCCAGCUACUCAGGAGGCUGAGGUGGGAGAAUCACUUGAACCCAGGAGGUGGAGGUUGCAGUGAGCUGAGAUCGCACCACUGCCUUCCAGCCUGGGCAACAGAGUGAGACUCCAUCUUAA
rfam:Gorilla gorilla gorilla genomic chromosome, chr5, whole genome shotgun sequence